GCAGCCCUGCAAGGAAAUAGCAAGGAUCAUUCUAUGGCAUUAGGAGUACAGAUUUACUCUGCCAAAUAUCCCGGAUAGGCAAAUAUAGACAGCUCUUAACCAACGCCCAUUCAUCAAUGAACGAGAUGACAAUUAAUGCCAUGUGUCCAAUUACGUAAGAGCCACAUGUGGUCACAAGACUUCAAAGGAUUGGGCGAGACGAAAGAAAUACAGGUGAGGAGCUGAUAAUGAGAAUGACAGAGACGAACAGGGUAGAAGAAAAAGAGGAGACACACAG